rnacentral:rRNA from 1 species
UCCUCCCUCUGGCGGCGCGCCUAACACAUGCAAGUCGAACGGAGCUGAGAGAAGCUUGCUUUUCUUAGCUUAGUGGCGAACGGGUGAGUAACGCGUGAGUAACCUGCCCUGGAGUGGGGGACAACAGUUGGAAACGACUGCUAAUACCGCAUAAGCCCACGAUCCGGCAUCGGAUUGAGGGAAAAGGAUUUAUUCGCUUCAGGAUGGACUCGCGUCCACUUAGCUAGUUGGUGAGGUAACGGCCCACCAAGGCGACGAUUGGUAGCCGGACUGAGAGGUUGAACGGCCACAUUGGGACUGAGACACGGCCCAGACUCCUACGGGAGGCAGCAGUGGGGGAUAUUGCACAAUGGGGGAAACCCUGAUGCAGCGACGCCGCGUGGAGGAAGAAGGUUUUCGGAUUGUAAACUCCUGUCGUUAGGGACGAUAAUGACGGUACCUAACAAGAAAGCACCGGCUAACUACGUG